GACGAACGCUGGCCGCGUGCUUAACACAUGCAAGUCGAACGGAAAGGCCCUUCGGGGUACUCGAGUGGCGAACGGGUGAGUAACACGUGGGUGAUCUGCCCUGCACUUUGGGAUAAGCCUGGGAAACUGGGUCUAAUACCGAAUAGGACCGCGCGCUUCAUGGUGUGUGGUGGAAAGCUUUUGCGGUGUGGGAUGGGCCCGCGGCCUAUCAGCUUGUUGGUGGGGUAAUGGCCUACCAAGGCGACGACGGGUAGCCGGCCUGAGAGGGUGACCGGCCACACUGGGACUGAGAUACGGCCCAGACUCCUACGGGAGGCAGCAGUGGGGAAUAUUGCACAAUGGGCGCAAGCCUGAUGCAGCGACGCCGCGUGAGGGAUGACGGCCUUCGGGUUGUAAACCUCUUUCACCAGGGACGAAGCGCAAGUGACGGUACCUGGAGAAGAAGCACCGGCCAACUACGUG
rnacentral:rRNA from 1 species